UUGUUUGUUUUUUUGAGCGUUCGGUGGAUGCCUUGGCAUCAGGGGCCGAUGAAGGACGUGGUGGCCUGCGAUAAGCCUCGGGGAGCCGGCUGACGGGCUGUGAUCCGAGGGUGUCCGAAUGGGGGGACCCGGCACGAGUUAUGUCGUGUCACUCGUACCUGAAUUCAUAGGGUGCGGGGGGUGACGCGGGGAAGUGAAACAUCUCAGUACCCGUAGGAGAAGAUAUUCCGUGAGUAGUGGCGAGCGAAAGCGGAUGAUGGUUAAACCGUGUGCGUGUGAUACCCGGCAGGGGUUGCGUGUGCGGUGUUGUGGGGCGUGUUCUUCCAUCCUCUGCCGGGGGUGGGCGCAGUGAGAAACUGGUGUGGUAGCUGAACCUCCUGGGAAGGGGGGCCGUAGUGGGUGAUAGCCCCGUAGGUGAAACCAUGCUGGCUGCGUGGGUGCGUUCCCGAGUAGCACGGGGCUCGUGGAAUCCUGUGUGAAUCUGCCAAGACCACUUGGCUGCCUGAAUACCUCCUGAUGACCGAUAGCGGAUAGUACCGUGAGGGAAUGGUGAAAAGUACCCCGGGAGGGGAGUGAAAUAGUACCUGAAACCGGGCGCUUACAAGCCGUCAGAGCCUUUCCUUUGUGGGGGUGAUGGCGUGCCUAUUGAAGAAUGAGCCUGCGAGUUAGCGCCGUGUCGCGAGGUUAACCCUUGGGGGGGUAGCCGUAGCGAGAGCGAGUCUGAAAGGGCGAGUUAAGUGGCACGGUCUAGACCCGAAGCGGGGUGAUCUACCCAUGGCCAGGUUGAAGCACGUGUAAGAGCGUGUGGAGGACCGAACCCACCUAGGUUGAAAACUGGGGGGAUGAGCUGUGGGUAGGGGUGAAAGGCCAAUCAAACUCCGUGAUAGCUGGUUCUCCCCGAAAUGCAUUUAGGUGCAGCGUCUCGUGGUCCCCGGCGGAGGUAGAGCUACUGGGUGGCUGAUGGGCCCCACAGGGUUACUGACGUCAACCAAACUCCGAAUGCCGUUCGGGUUAUAGCGGGGCAGUGAGACAGCGGGGGAUAAGCUCCGUUGUCGAGAGGGAAACAGCCCAGAUCGCCGGCUAAGGCCCCUAAGCGUGUGCUAAGUGGGAAAGGAUGUGCGGUCGCGCAGACAACCAGGAGGUUGGCUUAGAAGCAGCCAUCCUUGAAAGAGUGCGUAAUAGCUCACUGGUCAAGUGAUCGUGCGCCGACAAUGUAGCGGGGCUCAAGCACACCGCCGAAGCCGCGGACCCAUCACGUGUUCCCUACCGGGUUUGUCCUGGUCAGGGGUGGUGGGUGGUAGGGGAGCGUCCUGCACCGGGUGAAGCCGCAGAGUGAUCUAGUGGUGGACGGUGCGGGAGUGAGAAUGCAGGCAUGAGUAGCGAUACUAGGGUGAGAAGCCCUAGCGCCGAAUGACCAAGGGUUCCAGGGCCAGGCUAGUCCGCCCUGGGUGAGUCGGGACCUAAGGCGAGGCCGACAGGCGUAGUCGAUGGAUGACGGGUUGAUAUUCCCGUACCGGCGAAGCACCGCCCAUGCUGACGCGCGGGUGCUAACCCACGCCCGGCACCACAAUCGCGCCUUCUGGUGGCUUCGGCUGCCUGUUGGUGUGGUGGUGUGGGGUCUGGGGACCCUCCGUGCAGGUAGGCAAGCGUGUUAACAGGGGUGACGCACAGUGGUAGCCUCCGCGGGCCUAAUGGCUUGGCCCGUUCAAGCGAGCAGCCCGACAGCCAGGCAAAUCCGGUUGUCUUCCUUUGAUGGUAAGGGUCAGACGUGAUGGUGACCUGCCCUUCUCGGGUGGGGAAGUAGGGUGAUCCUGGGGUGCCGAGAAAAGCCUCGACGCGAUGGUGCCAGCCGCCCGUACCCUAAACCGACACAGGUGGUCGGGCAGAGUAUGCCUAGGCGCACGAGUGAAUCAUGGUGAAGGAACUCGGCAAAAUGCCCCCGUAACUUCGGGAGAAGGGGGGCCCGAGCCUUGAAGCCCCUUUUUGCGGGCUAGGGGUGAGGGUCGCAGAGACCAGGGAGAAGCGACUGUUUACUAAAAACACAGGUCCGUGCGAAGCCGCAAGGCGAUGUAUACGGACUGACGCCUUAAGCCCCAGUAAACGGCGGUGGUAACUAUAACCAUCCUAAGGUAGCGAAAUUCCUUGUCGGGUAAGUUCCGACCUGCACGAAUGGCGUAACGACUUCUCCACUGUCUCCACCAUGAGCUCGGCGAAAUUGCACUACGAGUAAAGAUGCUCGUUACGCGCAGAAGGACGGAAAGACCCCGGGACCUUUACUACAGCUUGGUAUUGGCGCCCGCUAUGGCUUGUGCAGGAUAGGUGGGAGACUGUGAAGCAGCCACGCCAGUGGUUGUGGAGUCGUCGUUGAAAUACCACUCUGGCUAUGGCGUGCGCCUGAACCUCGGCCCGUGAUCCGGGUCAGGGACAGUGCCUGGUGGGUAGUUUAACUGGGGCGGUUGCCUCCUAAAAUGUAACGGAGGCGCUCAAAGGUUCCCUCAGCCUGGUCGGCAACCAGGUGUUGAGUGUAAGUGCACAAGGGAGCUUGACUGCGAGACCGACGGGUCAAGCAGGUACGAAAGUAGGAACUAGUGAUCCGGCGAUCCCGAGUGGGUGGGUCGUCGCUCAACGGAUAAAAGGUACCCCGGGGAUAACAGGCUGAUCCUGCCCAAGAGUCCAUAUCGACGGCAUGGUUUGGCACCUCGAUGUCGGCUCGUCGCAUCCUGGGGCUGGAGCAGGUCCCAAGGGUUGGGCUGUUCGCCCAUUAAAGCGGUACGCGAGCUGGGUUUAGAACGUCGUGAGACAGUUCGGUCCCUAUCCUCUGCGCGCGCAGGAUACUUGAGAAGGCCUGUCCCUAGUACGAGAGGACCGGGACGGACGAACCUCUGGUGUGCCAGUUGUCCCGCCCGGGGCACGGCUGGUUGGCUACGUUCGGAACGGGUAACCGCUGAAAGCAUCUAAGCGGGAAACCAUCUUCAAGAUGAGGUAUCCACACCACCCCUCGGGGUGGUGGAAGGCCCCCAGCAGACCACUGGGUAGAUAGGCCGGACGUGGAAGACCCGCAAGGGUUGGAGCUGACCGGUACUAAUUGGCCAACACAAACAACA
rnacentral:rRNA from 1 species